GUAGUUAGCCGGGGCUUCCUCCUUGGGUACCGUCAUUUCUUUCGUCCCCAAGGACAGAGGUUUACAAUCCGAAAACCUUCUUCCCUCACGCGGCGUUGCUGGGUCAGAGUUGCCUCCAUUGCCCAAUAUUCCCCACUGCUGCCUCCCGUAGGAGUCUGGACCGUGUCUCAGUUCCAGUGUGGCCGAUCAGCCUCUCAGCUCGGCUACCCAUCGUUGGCUAGGUGGGCCGUUACCCCGCCUACUACCUAAUGGGACGCGAACCCCUCCUUUAGCGGAUUUCUCCUUUGACCUCUGUGUCAUGCGGCACUGUGGUCUUAUGCGGUAUUAGCACCUGUUUCCAAGUGUUAUCCCCCUCUAAAGGGCAGGUUGUUCACGCGUUACUCACCCGUCCGCCGCUAAUCCGUUCCCCGAAGGAAACUUCAUCGCUCGACUUGCAUGUGUUAGGCACGCCGCCAGCGUGUCCUGAGCCAUGAUCAAACUACUGA
rnacentral:rRNA from 1 species